rnacentral:rRNA from 1 species
AGCGAACGUUAGCGGCGGGCCUAACACAUGCAAGUCGAACGCGAAAGGUCUUCGGACUGAGUAGAGUGGCGCACGGGUGAGUAACACGUAGGUAAUCUACCCUUUGGCGGGGGAUAACGUUCCGAAAGGAGCGCUAAUACCGCAUAAGACCACGGAGUCUCCGGACGCUGUGGGAAAAGGUGGCCUCUUCUUGAAAGCUACCACCGAAGGAUGAGCCUGCGUCCCAUCAGCUAGUUGGUAAGGUAAUGGCUUACCAAGGCGAAGACGGGUAGCUGGUUUGAGAGAAUGAUCAGCCACACUGGCACUGGAACACGGGCCAGACUCCUACGGGAGGCAGCAGUGAGGAAUAUUGGGCAAUGGGCGAAAGCCUGACCCAGCCACGCCGCGUGAGUGAUGAAGGCCCUCGGGUCGUAAAGCUCUGUGGAGAGGGACGAAAACCCUAGGUUUCAAAUAGGCUCCAGGCUUGACGGUACCUCUUUAGCAAGCACCGGCUAACUCUGUGCCAGCAGCCG